UACGUAGGGUGCAAGCGUUGUCCGGAAUUAUUGGGCGUAAAGAGCUCGUAGGCGGUCUGUUGCGUCGGCUGUGAAAACCCGGGGCUCAACUCCGGGCCUGCAGCCGAUACGGGCAGACUAGAGUUCGGCAGGGGAGACUGGAAUUCCUGGUGUAGCGGUGAAAUGCGCAGAUAGUCAGGAGGAACACCGGUGGCGAAGGCGGGUCUCUGGGCCGAUACUGACGCUGAGGAGCGAAAGCGUGGGGAGCGAACAGG
rnacentral:rRNA from 1 species